rnacentral:lncRNA from 1 species
UUCCAUAUGCCUCGUUGGUCGUAGUGUUCUUCCUCCAACCUUCUCCUACCUUAUAAGUCUCUAUCCUUAUGUGUGAUGUGCAAAUAGGUUUUCAGAUGUGUACCCAUAUAUGCAUUGAUCACUCUACCUAGUACGUAAUGACUGAUAAAUAGGCUGUAAUGCGCAUGAAGUGCGCUCGAUCCAUCGACUGUAACUUUCUCACUGGCCAUUUGUACUGUUAAAGGCUUCGAGACCCU